rnacentral:rRNA from 1 species
GACGAACGCUGGCGGCGUGCCUAAUACAUGCAAGUUGAGCGCUGAAGGUUGGUACUUGUACCAACUGGAUGAGCAGCGAACGGGUGAGUAACGCGUGGGGAAUCUGCCUUUGAGCGGGGGACAACAUUUGGAAACGAAUGCUAAUACCGCAUAAAAACUUUAAACACAAGUUUUAAGUUUGAAAGAUGCAAUUGCAUCACUCAAAGAUGAUCCCGCGUUGUAUUAGCUAGUUGGUGAGGUAAAGGCUCACCAAGGCGAUGAUACAUAGCCGACCUGAGAGGGUGAUCGGCCACCUUUGGACUGGGACACGGCCCAACCUCCUACCGGAGGCAGCAGUAGGGAAUCUUCGGCAAUAGACGGAAGUCUGACCGAGCAACGCCGCGUGAGUGAAGAAGGUUUUCGGAUCGUAAAACUCUGUCGGUAGAGAAGAACGUUGGGGAGAGUGGAAAGCUCAUCAAGUGACGGUAACUACCCAGAAAGCGACGGCUAACUACGUG